AACGAACGCUGGCGGCAUGCCUAACACAUGCAAGUCGAACGAGACCUUCGGGUCUAGUGGCGCACGGGUGCGUAACGCGUGGGAACCUGCCCUUAGGUUCGGAAUAACUCCCCGAAAGGGGUGCUAAUACCGGAUAAUGUCUUCGGACCAAAGAUUUAUCGCCUUUGGGUGGGCCCGCGUUGGAUUAGCUAGUUGGUAGGGUAAAAGCCUACCAAGGCGACGAUCCAUAGCUGGUCUGAGAGGAUGAUCAGCCACACUGGGACUGAGACACGGCCCAGACUCCUACGGGAGGCAGCAGUGGGGAAUAUUGGACAAUGGGCGAAAGCCUGAUCCAGCAAUGCCGCGUGAGUGAUGAAGGCCUUAGGGUUGUAAGGCUCUUUUACCCGGGAUGAUAAUGACAGUACCGGGAGAAUAAGCUCCGGCUAACUCCGUG
rnacentral:rRNA from 1 species